ensembl:lncRNA
AUCUGAACUGAGUGGCAAAACAUAGGGAAUGGGACAUCAGGAGGGCCAGUCUCAGUUUUAAUGCUAUGACCCUGGGCAAAUUACCUGUCUGCCCCUGUUUUAUCACACCACACACUUUGUCUUGUCUGUCCAGACUCUAGCUGCUUUGGGACAGACACCAUCUCUCAAAAUGUGUUAGUAAUUCUCCUUGGAGGGCACUGGAGAACAAAAUAAGUGCUUAGUAUAUCAUCAAAAUAUUUAGUAAAUAAUAGGCAAUUGUGAGUCACUGCCCUGUAACUCCAUGUCUGGCUCUUGGUUUGUUGAAGAACAGCUAUGAAUCAGCUUUGGUCUGCAGGGUACUUGGAAAGCACCCAGCACGCGGACAGCUUCGUCUGUGAAUGCCUUUUUUUUUACAGGAUAAUCUGGUUCUGCGAUAGCACAGGGGAGUUUUGGCUGAUACAGUGACAUCAGGCUCAGCGCUCCUACCCCACACAAAGAAGAGUUCAUUCUGCUGGGGGUUGCCCUUCUCUUCCCAGCCCUUCCACCCCUGCACCUUUGGCUGCUGGAUGAUGCUCUUGUCAGCCCAGUGAAAAUUCUUGUGCAAUCCUGACAAAUGAACACCACAAGAAGUUGGAUCUGGAAAGACCAUAGAGCACGGGAUAAAUCGCCAGCUGGGUCUCUCUCUGCCCACUGUAAAAUGAGCACAGAGGACCAGCGAGAGUAAGUGGAUAACUCUCAGAUGGCUGAAAUUGCGUCAGAGAUUUGCACCCAUAGCGACCAGAAGAAAAACGAGUCAGGUGAACAGAGGAUUGUAAGAAAGGAAAAAAGAAAGCACAGCCUUGGCUAUCAUAAAGUCUAUGUGACAUUGAGCAACAGCUUCAGCUGUUAUCGCCUGCCUUCACACACUCCGAGGCCAGAUGGCUGAAGAGAAGGCGUUCAGCCACCAGUCGGUGGGCACUACAGGACUUUCCCAUCAAUCCAGAGAAAGACAAUUCAUUUUUCCCUUUCUGGUAUCAUUCAGACUGCUGUGUGAUGGGAGACUCAAGGGUAACCAACAGCUAAUCCUUGCAGAGCUGGCAGCUCUGGGCAGUAGUCAUAGCUGGAGGGAGGAUACCAAAGACUUUAUGGGGAAAAUUCCCUCUGAUUGCAAAGGGCCAGACUCCAGCAGUAUGUGCAGAAGAUUGGGUACAUUGAGAUAGCCCUUGAAUAAUGUUGCGAAGGUGGACAGAGAUUAAGAAGAAAAGCAUCCAGUUUGGAGUCAGACAGUAUAAAGAAAUGAAAAUAAAAUUCAGGUCGAAAUGCACUUGA